rnacentral:rRNA from 1 species
AUGUGGCGCCGCACAUCCACAUACAGCAAAUUCCGAUCCUCAAAUCCAUGCAUGUCAAUCAAACGAUACAACCGUCUGAAUGCCAAAGUUCGAAAGAAAGCAAAGCAAAUCAUAAUUCAACAUACCGGACAUGACAAAAUGAAAUCAAUGACCGACAUGACGGGUGGCGUCGGAUCACUGGCUGGGCGCCUGCUCCUGCUCGUCCUGCUCUGCCUGCAUCCGAGCCACAGCCGCCCUCGCCGCCUCGUACUUCCUACAGUCGUUGAUCUUCAUCUUCUUGUCCACAAGCCACUUCUUCACAUGCUCAUUCAAGAGGGACUCGUCCGCCAACAUGAUCCUCGCAUCUUCCACGUCCCGUUCGAGUUGCAACCUCUCUUUCUCAAGCUCCAUGUCACCAGAUGUCUUGGCCUUUUCGAGCUCCCAUUUGAUCGCAGCUUGUUGCUUCUCGAACUCGAUCUUCUCCCUCUCAAUUUCCAGCUUCUUCUCCGCCCUCUUCCGGUCCCACUUCAUCCUUUCCUUUUGCGCAUUCAACAUAGGGUUGACCUCUCCUCCUUCUUGUUCUCCCUCAUCGAAAAAAUGCCCGUCCAUAUGAACGAAAUUUUGGUAGCCGCGACAUCAUGGACGGCAUGUGCCUUCUCCCACUUGAUCAUGUUCGACAAAAACGCCUCCUACAUGAUUAUGGUUUGCAAGCAUUCAUCAUGA